rnacentral:lncRNA from 1 species
ACAUAUCGGUCAACACCGGUUUACUCUUGGGUUCAUAUUUGACCUUUUUUUGGAGUUUAGAACACAUUAUAUUUGGUUUAGACCAUAUCUUUAUCACAAUUCUUUUCAUCUCCCACCAUUAGUUCUUUGAACUACGGAGUUGUGAAUUCCUCAUUGCACUAUGAGGAUACGUAGGCAUGAGGGCCCCAAUCCUCACCGAGCACUUU